rnacentral:lncRNA from 1 species
AUGCUCCAGAGAAGAACCUUUCCCCAUUGUCACUUCCUUUGUCUGAUGGUCUGUAACAUCUGACCUCUGCUUGGCAGGUCGUGGCCUUCACCUCCUUUCUUUCCAACAGGAAUAAUGACAGCAGGGUUAAGUUUAUAUGAUACCUCUGAAACCCGAGCUUGCCAGGAUGGAUUCUCCUCUGCAACCAGCCUCCCUGCAGCAGAUGCCAGGAUAAAAUGCCUGUCUUUCCUGAAGGGCUCCUCUCUGCUGCCAGCGGGACCAGCGGCAUCUCAGCUGAGAAUGAAAGCCACUGUUUUAUGGCUGCUCUAGCCUGAUAUCUCGGAGUAUUGGCCAACACAGACACACAGAACUGCUGGAAUUGCAUACGAGUAACACAAGGAAUGCAAAGAUUUUCUUGGCAUCACUGCUAGGGAAUGCCCACUUAAGAAUACUUAUGUACUUUGUACACAAGAUCCCUUUUUCUUUGACAGAAUGGAUAAUGAGACAUUUUCUCUGCACACCCAAGAAGGCACAUGGUGUGAUUCCUGCACAGGGCCAGGAGUUGGACUCGAUUAUCCUGAUGGGUCCCUUACAACUCAGUACAUUCUAUGAUUUUAUUAUUCUAAGAACCUAGAAAACCUGGGAAGAUAUCCCAGGGCAUCUCUCUUGGGAUUUAGCAUUUACUGUAGCAUUCAGAAGUCUAAACGCACAGCCAAUAAAAGAAUGU